ACGCUGGCGGCACGCCUAAUACAUGCAAGUCGAACGAAGUAGCAAUACUUAGUGGCAGACGGGUGAGUAACAUGUGGGUAUCUUCCCUUUGGUGAGGAAUAACACGAGGAAACUUGUGCUAAUACCUCAUAAGUCUUUACGGAGAAAGCUUUAUGCGCCAAUGGAUGAGCCCGCACUUGAUUAGUUUGUUGGUGAGGUAAUGGCUCACCAAGACUUUGAUCAAUAGCUGAUUUGAGAGGAUGAUCAGCCACAUUGGGACUGAGACACGGCCCAAACUCCUACGGGAGGCAGCAGUAGGGAAUCUUGCACAAUGGGGGAAACCCUGAUGCAGCGAUGCCGCGUGAGUGAAGAAGGCCUUUGGGUUGUAAAGCUCUUUCGUCGGGGAAGAAAAUGACUGUACCCGAAUAAGAAGGUCCGGCUAACUUCGUGCCAGCAGCCGCGGUAAUACGAAGGGACCUAGCGUAGUUCGGAAUUACUGGGCUUAAAGAGUUCGUAGGUUGUUAAAAAAGUUGGUGGUGAAAUCCCAGAGCUUAACUCUGGAACUGCCAUCAAAACUUUUUAGCUAGAGUUUGAUAGAGGAAAGCAGAAUUUCUAGUGUAGAGGUGAAAUUCGUAGAUAUUAGAAAGAAUACCAAUUGCGAAGGCAGCUUUCUGGAUCAUUACUGACACUGAGGAACGAAAGCAUGGGUAGCGAAGAGGAUUAGAUACCCUCGUAGUCCAUGCCGUAAACGAUGUGUGUUAGACGUUGGAAAUUUAUUUUCAGUGUCGCAGCGAAAGCAAUAAACACACCGCCUGGGGAGUACGACC
rnacentral:rRNA from 1 species